UCAAAAGCCUGAAGGGUAAAUGAGAUGCUCCAGCUAACAUGAGUGCCCUUCCACAACACAACAGCCUCUGGAAGUCCUUUCUGUCAACAAUGCUGGAGAAAGGCAUCAGAUCCCAUACCCACUGAAGUUUGACUUGAAAUGAUUCAUGCUAAUGUGCUGAGGAUAAAGCAGUGGAAACACAACAUAGACCCUUGCUCUCAUGGAGCUUGUGUUCUACUGGUGGAACAGAUGAGAAAAGCUAUUGUCAUAUGUUGUAUAUCAGAUUUCUCUGGAGCAUUAAUGUGUUGAUGAUCCUGAACCUCUGUGCAGCUCCUUUGGGAAGAGGUACAUACUUAGUCAUACCUUUAUAUUGGAAUAAAACUUGGAAAAGUGAUGCCAGCCUCAGUUUGUGUUGACUGUAUUC